GUAGCGCCUCGUGAAUUCAUCUCCGGGGGUAGAGCACUGUUUCGGCUAGGGGGCCAUCCCGGCUUACCAACCCGAUGCAAACUGCGAAUACCGGAGAAUGUUAUCACGGGAGACACACGGCGGGUGCUAACGUCCGUCGUGAAGAGGGAAACAACCCAGACCGCCAGCUAAGGUCCCAAAGUCAUGGUUAAGUGGGAAACGAUGUGGGAAGGCCCAGACAGCCAGGAUGUUGGCUUAGAAGCAGCCAUCAUUUAAAGAAAGCGUAAUAGCUCACUGGUCGAGUCGGCCUGCGCGGAAGAUGUAACGGGGCUAAACCAUGCACCGAAGCUGCGGCAGCGACACUCAGGUGUUGUUGGGUAGGGGAGCGUUCUGUAAGCCUGCGAAGGUGUGUCGUGAGGCAUGCUGGAGGUAUCAGAAGUGCGAAUGCUGACAUAAGUAACGAUAAAGCGGGUGAAAAGCCCGCUCGCCGGAAGACCAAGGGUUCCUGUCCAACGUUAAUCGGGGCAGGGUGAGUCGACCCCUAAGGCGAGGCCGAAAGGCGUAGUCGAUGGGAAACGGGUUAAUAUUCCCGUACUUGGUGUUACUGCGAAGGGGGGACGGAGAAGGCUAUGUUGGCCGGGCGACGGUUGUCCCGGUUUAAGCGUGUAGGUGUGUGUUCCAGGUAAAUCCGGUUCACUUUAACACUGAGGCGUGAUGACGAGGCACUACGGUGCUGAAGCAACAAAUGCCCUGCUUCCAGGAAAAGCCUCUAAGCAUCAGGUAACAUCAAAUCGUACCCCAAACCGACACAGGUGGUCAGGUAGAGAAUACCAAGGCGCUUGAGAGAACUCGGGUGAAGGAACUAGGCAAAAUGGUGCCGUAACUUCGGGAGAAGGCACGCUGACACGUAGGUGAAGUGAUUUACUCA
rnacentral:rRNA from 1 species